ACGUACACUCCUGCGGGAGGCAGCAGUGGGGAAUUUUGGACAAUGGGCGAAAGCCUGAUCCAGCCAUGCCGCGUGCAGGAUGAAGGCCUUCGGGUUGUAAACUGCUUUUGUACGGAACGAAACGGCCUUUUCUAAUAAAGAGGGCUAAUGACGGUACCGUAAGAAUAAGCACCGGCUAACUACGUGCCAGCAGCCGCGGUAAUACGUAGGGUGCAAGCGUUAAUCGGAAUUACUGGGCGUAAAGCGUGCGCAGGCGGUUAUGUAAGACAGUUGUGAAAUCCCCGGGCUCAACCUGGGAACUGCAUCUGUGACUGCAUAGCUAGAGUACGGUAGAGGGGGAUGGAAUUCCGCGUGUAGCAGUGAAAUGCGUAGAUAUGCGGAGGAACACCGAUGGCGAAGGCAAUCCCCUGGACCUGUACUGACGCUCAUGCACGAAAGCGUGGGGAGCAAACAGGAUUAGAAACCCUUGUAGUCCCAUGA
rnacentral:rRNA from 1 species